AAGAGUAUAGUUCAAGUGGUAGAGCACAUGCUUAGCAUGCACGAGAUCCUGGGUUCAAUCCCCAGUUUCUUC
rnacentral:tRNA from 1 species